rnacentral:rRNA from 1 species
CGUAGUUGGCCGGGGCUUCUUCUGCAGGUACCGCCAUUUUCGUCCCUGCUGAAAGGGGUUUACGACCCGAGAGCCUUCAUCCCCCACGCGGCAUCGCUGCGUCAGGCUUUCGCCCAUUGCGCAAGAUUCCCCA